UACGGAGGAUCCAAGCGUUAUCCGGAUUUAUUGGGUUUAAAGGGUGCGUAGGUGGUUUUUUAAGUCAGGGGUGAAAGACGGCAGCUUAACUGUCGCAGUGCCUUUGAUACUGAAGAACUUGAAUAAACUAGAGGUAGGCGGAAUGUGACAAGUAGCGGUGAAAUGCAUAGAUAUGUCACAGAACACCAAUUGCGAAGGCAGCUUACUAUGGUUUGAUUGACACUGAGGCACGAAAGCGUGGGGAUCAAACAGG
rnacentral:rRNA from 1 species